GACAAAAUAUCCAUUCAGCUUCCUUUAUUUUGGUAAGAUGAUUGGAUUGAACUCGAAAAGAAGUGUGAAACGAAACCAUAGUCCAUCGUGCACGAACACAUCAAAGACCAUGUUAGGCUUCAUGAAGGGAGGCAAUCCCCAAAUGCCUCAAAACAAACCACGUGGCUUAUGAACAAUCUCGCUCUUCCGUAAAUCCUAAAAUUGUAGAUUUUUCGAAAAGAAUGUUACAUGAGAGGACAUUUCCACAAUUUUUCGGAUUUUCUUUGUGGUGUAAGCUCAGCGUUAUUUGGAUUUAAUGCAAAGCAACCCUGAAUAUAAAACUUGGUUAAAAGGGAUGGUGUAGAAGUUUAUACCGAUUAAAUUAUUUGCACGCGUGUAAAAUCCAUUUACUCGAACGGUAAUAAGAGCCGUUGAGCCAUUUCGGUCCGCUACAUCAUUAUUGUGGAAAUUUCGGCCAAGGCAUUUGAAAUCGGUGACGAGCACUUGCAAUAACGUUUAUACCUUCAAUU
rnacentral:misc_RNA from 1 species